CAUCCUCUUUCCUGUCUUCUCUUUUUCGUGCUCAAGUGUUACAGCUUUAUUUUUCAUAUUCUAUAUUUGGUUUGGACACAGCAGACAAACACACAAACACUGCUCCCCCAAAAGUGCGUCCCCUGAAAACAACAGGGCUACUAAAUGUGCUGAGCACCGGAGGCAAGAUUAUCAAGGUCACACAAUUGUCUAGACCCUGGAAGAAUUCCAGCUGACCUAAUACUGGAGGGAUGAAGAGGAGAAUUUUUCCAAAACAAUGCUGAUCCUGUUUUUAUUCCUUUCCAGGAGCACAUGAAUACAAAUAUACACCUGUGUGCAUAUACAGGCACACACAGACACAACACGCACAUCUUCAAGGCUUCUCACGUUGCUUUGCAACUGUGGGAAGAUAAAUCCAGGUGUUCUCAUUCCGUACCUGGAAGAAGGACUGAUGAUUCCCUCUUCCUGUAAGCUUGUGUAAAUCAUUUCCCCUCUCUAGG